rnacentral:rRNA from 1 species
ACUUGGAACCGGGAGAGGUAAGAGGUACUACAGGGGUAGGAGUGAAAUCUUGUAAUCCCUGUGGGACCACCUGUGGCGAAGGCGUCUUACCAGAACGGGUUCGACGGUGAGGGACGAAAGCUGGGGGGCACGAACCGGAUUAGAUACCCGGGUAGUCCCAGCCGUAAACGAUGCUCGCUAGGUGUCAGGCAUGGCGCGACCGUGUCUGGUGCCGCAGGGAAGCCGUGAAGCGAGCCACCUGGGAAGUACGGCCGCAAGGCUGGAAACUUAAAGGAAUUGGCGGGGGAGGCACAACAACGGGUGGAGCCCCUGCGGUUUUAAUUGGACUCAACGCCGGACAACUCACCGGGGGCGACAGCUAAUAUGUAGGCCAAGCUGAAGACUUUGCCUGAAUCGCUGAGGAGAGGUGCAUGG